CCAUUGUAAAUCACAACCCUUCAUCAAAAGAAACACUUCACGCCUGUAUUCAGCAAAGCCAGUAAAGCAUUCAAACAUGGAUUGAUAAGUGUUGCAGAGUAUCCCAGAUAAAUGAAGUCACAAAUCUUACAGUCAAGCUAAGCCAGUGGAGGAGAUGACAGAUACUGUGAGGGGGUGGCGUGGUAGGAGUCGAACGAGAUGGCUUGAGAUUCCUGAAACAUCACCUAAUUUUCUCAAGCAAUCUCAUGAAAGUGCUACGCUUACUCAAUGCAGCGGAAGUGAAAAAUACUCCAACCUGUUCAUAAAGAAUAGAGACUGUUGCAGUGAGGAAAAUUUCCCAGAAGUAAAGCAUGCAGAUA